UACGGUGCAUUGACUGUACAUACAUUUUUUUUCGUGAGUUUUCAUGGUCAGAAUGAGAGAUCAGGUGGCCGAUCUUAAAAUAAAUCAAUAUUGAUUUUUUUUAUAGAGCGUUAAAGUUUUGCGAAGCCAGGGGGCGGGACUACUUGAUUGACAGUCCGGUCUGGAAUGAUUGACAGGUUCUAUGGAGGAGACAGCAGAGACUCUGCUCUCCUCGUUUGGAUUAAUUCUGAUAUAAUAACUGUUGGUUUAUUUAUCGGUGGAGCAGCAGAACAUUUUCCACAGACAGUUUUUCUGCCCGUUGGCUUGUUUUAACCAAUUUUCUACCUUCGGCUGAUUCUACCAGCAGACACUGAAAGGACUCUAAUAGUUCGAGUGAAAGUAGCAAUUCCUCCUUAAGGUCAGAGAUUGCAGCAUCUGAGGGCCUCUUCAAAAGAAGACGUAGCUGAUGAAGGCGUUCUGGAGCAGGACCAGAAAGACCACGACCAAGCAGCCUUGAGAUCUUAGGCAGCGUCUCCCUCAGGUCCUUCUCUAUCUCCCCACACAUCCACCAACCACUGGAACACAUCUCCAAAGUUCUGCCAGGCCAGCUCAGCUUCCCCUCAGAAGAAGUGCCGCCACCUGCCAGAUGAAGGAGCCUUUUGAGAGGCAGCUGGCAUCGUGAUUGGACUGUACUUUGGUCUGUUCCAAUCCAGCUUCAGCUCCAGAGACGGCAGGCUGGACGAGUCAACGGAGGCCGGAUGGACGAAGGCAUGCAGCUGAGUACAAUCCAGAAAACAACAGAGGAGGAGUGUAGUGGCCCAGUAUAGCCUUCGACCAAAGAACUACAGACUCUUCACAACCUGCUCAAACUCUUGGUACAGGACCUCACCACACGGGUCAAGAAGGUUUCCGUCUCAUUUCUACUCUGAAGCUCACCUUCUCCUGCUCAAACUGCUGACAAAUGUUUCUGCUGCUCUAAAGUCUGCUCUCCAGAACUUCCUAAAAACUCUCAAAGUCUCUUCUGCUGCAGGUUGCUUUGUAGAACUGUUCCAGAAAACCUCACUAAACCACAUGGAGGGGCCUCAAGAUAGUCGUCCAAAUGAAACCAUACAAAAACCAAACUAACACAACCCAAACGCUAAAGUCUACUGCAGCCUACCAGAGAACCUCUGAGACAAGAGAAUCAGGACAGGAACUCUUACCUUCUGGACAACCAACGUUGGUUCACAAACAAGAAUACAGAAUGUGUCUGACCAAAAACCUCUGAAGACUCACUACAGCCAAGAUAAAGACACAACUCAGCUGCACCAAAUCCGCUAAUCACUGCACACAUUAGCACCAUGUGCUAACUGUGGCUAAAGAACCUCAUUUACCAAGACAACUAUCCAGUACAAAGCCCUAAAACACACCAAGAAACACAUUAAAGCCUAUUUUACUGCUGGAAGCUGCAAGCCAACGCCUAAAGAACAAACUAAUGCAACGGAGCCAAACCCGGUUCACUGGUGAAGAGAAACAGAGGAAAUGUUUGACUGCAGCUAAAUAAAGCAGGAAGACACUGAGCUGCUCAGGUGUUCCUGAUAACACCAAGCAGCCACCUGGACAGCCAAUAGGAACACAGCUUACUGGAAGUCCAGAGGGCUGGGUUAGUGAAGGAAAUUUAGUUUAAAGUUGAAGCAGAAAGUAAACAAAGAAAGUUGAAAACCACCUUCUGAUCCCUGAAAUCUCUGAGUUUUCACACAAAGAACGCCUGAACAUGUCAAAUUGGUUUCAUAGUAGAACCAUCAUUGUAAAAACGUCAUAGUAUGGUGUGUUGCUCAAAAAACAUUAUGACCCGGCUGUCUAGGGUCGCCGAAGAGCUACACAAAAACAGGACAAACACUGGUUUCCAGGGGGUUAGGCGGGUAUUUAUUUGAAAGAGUAAGUUUACAACAACACAACAUGUGAGCAGAAAAAUCAGUGUGUGUCUUUAGUUCAGCUGAAAAUAUUAGUUUUUGUCUUUUUUAUUGACCAAACUUUUCAGGAAGUAGAUGAAGAAUAAUUAAAGCUCUCAUGUAUAAGUCCAACUUAUUUUGGAUCCUUGUGGAGAGUUUAAUCUUAGUUUGUACAGCUGUUGAGUUUUUAGAGUCACAUGGAUUGUUUUGACAUUUAAUAACCGAGUCCUGAAAUAAAAUUACAGUUGUGGAUUUCUGUCAUUUAGUCUGGACUAAACAAAUAACAGCAGCAUAAAUCUCAAACGUCAUUAUGAGGAGUCUGGAUUGAGGUUUCUCACUUGAUAAUGAUCAAAAAAUGAAAUUUAGUUUGGUUUAAAGGAAUAUUCUACCUUAAAUCUUUAAUUGUUGACCCAAAAGGUUGGUUUCAGGAAGUAUUCCACCUACAAGGUCCUCAAACAUCCACCUUAAAGGAACAUUCCACCAAAAAUCCUUGGACAUGUACCUAAAAUGUUGGUUUAACCGACUAUUCCAUCCAAAAUCCUCAAAGAGACCUGAGGGGCUGGUUAAAAGGAAUAUUCCACCUAAAACCCCAAAUAUUGACCCGAAAGGGUGGUUUAGAGAAAAUCCUUCAAUGAAGACCAAAAAAGUUAGUAUGGAGGAAUAUUCCACCUGAAAUGUAGACUUGAGAAGUUGGUUCGGAAGAAUAUACCAUCCUAAACAUCCUUAAAUGUAGACUAAAAGACGGUUUGGAAGAAAAUUCCACCUAAAAUCCUCCAAUGGAGACCUAAAAGGUGAGUUUAAUGGUAUAUUCCACCUAAAAUUCACUACUGUAGACCUUGGAGGUUGGUCUGAUGGUAUAUUCCACCCAACAUCCUUGAACAUAAACUUAAAAAAUUCGUUCAAAGGAAUAUUCCACCUAAAAUCCUUUAAUGUAGACCAAAAAAUCUUGGUGUAAAGGAGUAUUCCACCUUAAAUGUAAACCUAAAGGAUGGUUUAGAGUAAUAUUCUACUCUAAAAUAUUACAAUGUAGACCUAAAAGGUUGAUCUGAUGGUAUAUUCUACUCAACAUCCUGGAACAUUUACCUAAAAGGUUGGUUUAAUGGUAUAUUCCCAGAAGAACCCUUGAACAUCGGGCUUAAUGGUAUAUUCCACCCAAGAUACUUGUACAUAUAUCAAGAAGUCAGUGUAAAGGAAACGUAGACCUAAAAGGAUUGUUUAAAGGAAUAUUUAAACAAUUAUUUUCAUUAUUUAAUAAUUUGUCAUCAGUCAGAACCCUGGCAAACUUAUUUUCAUCAGUUUUUUAGUGGAAGUCACAAAUAAAGGAGCUCUUGGUUUUUCCCGGCGUUACUGAGUCAAAAGCUGCUGUUUCAACACAGAACGUUCACAUGCAUCCUCAAACCUCUCAGCACUCAAACACCCACAGACAGGAGGCCGGCUGGGCCGAGGCUCGGCGGCGUCCUCAGACCCACGAGUCGGGGAGUCGCUGAACUUGUUGGUCCGGUUUGAAGGCCUCCGUGUGGUCCAGUAGAAGUCCACGUAGUCGGUGUUGGCUUUGAACCGCAGUGACUGGCUGCCAUCAGGUGGACCGGCUCGUCCUCGUAGGGCUCCUCCUGUAGCCUUGAGGGAACCACAGGAACAUUCAGUAGCUGUUGGAGUUCUUCCUGUCAGGCUCGUGGUAAAACGGCUCUGAAGAAUCUUGUACUUGUCUUAUCUGGAACAAUCUAACAGCCUAAACUGUUAACAGUGGUGUAAAGAAGCAAACACACAGGCAUAGAUUAGGACUCAAACUAGACUUAUUUUAGAAAACAAAUCAACUUAGAGGCAUUUGUUCACACAUGUGGCUGAAUAGGAGGCCGUCCAAUCAGAUUUGAGGUCUUCACUCUGUAGGUUGGUUGUUUGGUGAGACUCUUGGACCUCCAUCAGCUGACGUGGAUGUUUGAUGGUCUUCUUCUCUAGUGCCAGAUGAUUCAUCCAUGAAUUCAGCAGCUACAGACUGAAAUGAAGCUCAUGCUGCCGUUAUUGAAUUCCUGUUCCAGAUCAAAUGUUCAGAGCUCACCUUGAAUGCAGCCGUCUGCUGUCUGAUAGUUUUUCUCAUUGUAGUCUUCAAUAAAGUCUUUUUCCUCAU